UACAGAGGGGGCAAGCGUUGUUCGGAAUUACUGGGCGUAAAGGGCGCGUAGGCGGCCUGCUAAGUCGAACGUGAAAUCCCCGGGCUCAACCCGGGAACUGCGUCCGAUACUGGCAGGCUUGAAUUCGGGAGAGGGAUGCGGAAUUCCAGGUGUAGCGGUGAAAUGCGUAGAUAUCUGGAGGAACACCGGUGGCGAAGGCGGUUGCCUGGAGCUUUGCUGACGCUGAUGCGCGAAAGCGUGGGGAGCGAUCCGG
rnacentral:rRNA from 1 species